GGCGUCAUACUCAAGUGGUCGAAGAGGCCGGGCAGGUAUGUCCGGUAGGGCGCAGUGGUUUGCUGCGUUGCGAAGGUUCAAAUCCUUCUGGCGCCC
rnacentral:tRNA from 1 species